AUUGAACGCUGGCGGCAGGCCUAACACAUGCAAGUCGAGCGAGAGGCGGACGGGUGAGUAAUGUAUGGGGACUGCCCGACACAGGGGGAUAACUACUGGGCACGGUAGCUCAUUCCGCAUACUAUCGGAUAACCCAUAUGGGAUGAGCUAGUAGUUGUGGUAAUGGCUCACCUAGGCGACGAUGCCUAGCUGGUCUGAGAGGAUGAGCAGCCAAACUGGGACUGAGACACGGCCCAGACUCCUACGGAGGAAGCAGUGGGGAAUAUUGCACAAGGGGAGAAAGCCUGAUGCAGCCAUGCCGCGUGUAUGAAGAAGGCCCUAGGGUUGUAAAGUACUUUCAGUCGGGAGGCGUUACCGACAGAAGAAGCACCGGCUAACUCCGUGCCAGCAGCCGCGGUAAUUC
rnacentral:rRNA from 1 species